GCGGUAGUAGUAUAGUGGUUAGAGAUUUAAUAUCGACCAAUAUACGGCCUUGCCAAGGCUGUGACCGGGGUUCGAGUCCCCGCUACCGCA
rnacentral:tRNA from 1 species